UCUGAUUCCCAAUCCAGAGCUUUAAACAUGUACACGAUGUACAUAAAUCUUGUAUCCUAGUGAGUAGUAAGUAAAGGCCACAGAUUUGGCAUGAUUAGUUUUGUGUCUUUUGGGAACAGCAGUGUCCUCGUUAUGCAGCAGGUGUAAUGAUGACCUGCUUCAUCUAACUCACAGGACUGUGAAGCACAAAAGAGAUGAUUUGGUGCAAGCACUCUGUAAGGUGCCAUGUAAGGGUUUAUCACUCCCCAACCCUCAGUCCCCUGCAGUCUUGGCAGGUUCUCUGUCCUUCUAGUAGCAUGGACCUCACUUUUACAAACCCCCCAAAAAUGUAUCUCACACUCUGUUGGUAUCAUGCAAGUCUCUUAUGAGUGUCAGCUAGUGGCCAGAGGAGCCAGCCAGCCAGCCAUGCUUUUGCACAACCUCAAACCAAAGCUCUCUCCCUACGUUGGGGCUUCAGGGAUGCUAUGCCAAAGGUUUCCAAGACCGCUUUACCCUGAACCCCAAGCAGCGGCCAUGAGGACUGUAGGUCCAGCUGAUGUUCAGGGAGGGACUCGAGAGGUGUGUGCAUGGCCUCCGUGGAGUCAUCGCAGGUAGGAGGGUCUUUGUCUUCUUGGCAGAAUCAGAGCCUGAAUUUGGCAGGUUCAUCUGAGAGUGAUCUGUCCUCUGCAACCAAGUUCUGAGGGGAUGACUUUGUAAAGUCAAACGGCAAUGUCAUCAUUUUUUAUAGGAAUUCACAAUUGGGUCUAGGCUGUAUAUAGAUGGAAGCUCUUGCAUAGGAGAGCAAGCUACAGAUGACAAAAGGUGUCUGAUGAACACAAAAUCAGAGUAAAGAAAGUUGAAAUUUAGAGAAUAUGUAUGCUUUUACAAAAAUGAAAAUACCUUAUUGUUUUUUCAAAGUAUAAACAUACAUGUUCAUCAUUAAAAAAAAAAAUUCAGACAGCGACACAGCAAAGUAUACAGAAGAAAGAGAAAAGGAUCCAUCCAAAGAGAGCCAUUGUUAACGUUUUGAGCAUAUUCCUCCAGAAUUCUUCUUACAUGUAUUGUUACCAAAAUGGAAUUACGUACACUUUAGGUGUUGUUUUGUAAACUCGUUUACUUAAAUAUCGUUGGACAUUUUUCUAUGCCGGUAAAUAUAUGUCAUCCUUUUAAUCAGCUAUAUAAUAAAGGAUAUUUUCCUCAAGCUGUGAGGGAGUCUUAUGAACCCUCCUUCUCUCCUAAAGGCAUCAUCAUCUGAGCCUCUUCUCCUGUCUCAGGGAUCCCUGAUGCUGGUUGGUUCUGAGAAACACGCUGACCCAUGACUUCUGGCCAACACCAAUGAGCAGCCAGAAAACCUCACUGGACCAGCUGCAUCUUUUCGGGCAAGCAACUGUACUCUCCAGGGCCCCAGGUUCUCCAUGUGUUAAAUGAGAGGAGGAUCCUGGUACUGAGUGAACGGGGUGCCACUGGAGCCCCAGCUGUGCACCUGCAUGACCUACUUCAAGACCCUGAAGAUCCUCUGCUGGGAGCAGAUGGUUGAAGCUGGAAGGUCUGGGGGAGGCACAAGGCUGUGUGGGAGGGUCACAUAAGGGAAACAGCUCUCCUGAUUUCCUUCCAGUAUGGCAGUGAGUGUUAGCUACAAAGAGGCAUCAGAUUCACAGCGUAUCAGUAAGUACAGCCUUUGGGGCCAUUCAGCCCUUUUUGAGCACUAGUGUCUAAAGUGUAGCAUCAGUACAGUAUUUAUUUUCCAUUUUAAAAGCCCUCUUCCAUAUAUUAUCUCAUCAAAUUCUCAUUCCUGUCUUUUAGAUGAGGAAACUGAGAUUCAGAGAGUGGGAUGACUUGCCCAAAACCAGAUGAUGAUUAUUUGCCAAAUGAAGACUCCCUAAGCUCCACCAGUGCUUCACCAGAGCUCACCCAGCUUCUCCUCCACCUCCACAGUCUCCCCAUUGAAACACAGACACAUGACAGAUGCACACACAUGUGCAAAAUACUCCUGCAGAACACACCCUCCAUCCCCACCCCACCACCACACACACCCAAGACAGCAUUGCCCUUCCCUGGGUCCAUCCACUCCUUCAACACAUAUUUGUGAGCGUUAUGCUAGGCGCCAGUGGUAAACUGAUAAACCAGGGGACAUGGUUCCUGAUCUCACAGAGUUGGUCCAGGGUCAGCUAGAGUCUAGAAUGAGGCAAGAAUAGGGUGGGGCUGAGAGUGGUACAUUCAGUACAGGGUACAAUGGGAGCACAUAGGAAGGGCCCCUAACCCCUCCUCAGAGGGAUCAGGGAAGGCAUCCUGGAGGACGAGACAUCCAAGCAGAGACCCAGAAGAUGGGUUGGAGUUGGCAAGACUGAGGUGGUGGAGCUAAAAAGAGAGACAGGGAGAGUGUUCUACACGGAGGGUGGAGCAUGUACAAACACGGGGAGGCAAGGGGAGCACGGCACUUUCGAGGAACCACGAGAAGUACAACGUGGCCAGGGGACCUGCUCAGGUGGGGAGAUGGUGUCCAUUGAGGCCGCAGAGGAUGCAGGUGUUUGAGUGUGAUGGGCUGGUAAACCUUGUUGGUAUUUAUGGAGUUGAUGUUUGUCUCGAGGGCAUUGGGAAGCCAUUGAAGGGUUUAGUGAGUGACGUUGGUGACAAGCUCUCAUCAAGACAUUCUCCUUUUGGCCACUGUAAGAAUCUACGAUCGUAACUAAUUUCAAUCCUACUUUAAGAUACACUCUGGCUUUAGUUUCUGCAAAAUAUAUGUAUGAUCAACUUUGGGAUACUUUUCCUGUUUAGGCUGCCACCUCCAUUUCACCUGCUUUUGCUGCUCUUCCCGGGUCUCUGUGGUCUGGGCCAGGUUGGUUCAGAUGACCAGAGCACUGUUAUCAAGAUGCCAUGGAUAUGCCAGCAAAUAGCUUCUUACUGCUCCCUGCUCCCAGCCUCAGCCUUAACCCGGGGCCUGGACUCCACACGGACAGAAUAUGGGCUGACUAACCAACAUCCCUCAGGAAGACUGGAAAACAAGUUUAAGGUAUAAUAAGAAGGGACACGGGUUCAAGCCCUGGUCCGGGAAGAUCCCACAUGCCGUGGAGCAACAAAGCCCGUGUGCCACAACUACUGAGCCUGCACGCCUAAAGCCCAUGCUCUGCAACAAGAGAAGCCGCUGCAAUGGGAAGCCUGCGCACCAUAACGAGGAGUAGCCCUCGCUUGCUACAACUAGAGAAAGCCUGCAGGCAGCAACGAAGACCCAACGCAGCCAUAAAUAAAUAAAUUUAUUUAAAAAAAGAAUAUAUAUACACACACAUACACAUAAAAAACGAAUGUAUAUAUAUAUGUAUAACUGAAUCACUUUGCUGUACAGCAGUAAUCAACACAACACUGUAAAUCAACUACAAUAAAAAAAUAAAUUAAAAAAUAAA